GGCACCGUAGCCAAGCGGUAAGGCAGGGGUCUGCAAAACCCCCAUUCGGCGGUUCGAUUCCGCCCGGUGCCU
rnacentral:tRNA from 1 species